rnacentral:rRNA from 1 species
UACGGAGGGUGCAAGCGUUAAUCGGAAUUACUGGGCGUAAAGCGCACGUAGGUGGUUAUUUAAGUUGGCUGUGAAAGCCCAGGGCUUAACCUUGGAAUGCCAGCCAAGACUGGAUAACUAGAGUACAGUAGAGGGGUGUGGAAUUUCCGGUGUAGCGGUGAAAUGCGUAGAGAUCGGAAGGAACACCAGUGGCGAAGGCG